CUUCUCAUGCCCUCCUCCCCCAGAAAUUUAUGGAAGGUGACAGAGAAAUUCUAUGUCAAGAAAGGGCCCUUGGGGCAUAUCAAAGUGUGGGCAAAGGGUCUGUUUGUGUUUAUACAGAGGAUCAAAGCCUAAUUUGGCUACCCAGAAAAUGAACUAAGGUACGAUAUGAAGAAGAACUUCCAACAUCAGCACUCUCUAGAAGACUCAUAGCAGAAGAUGAUCAUCAAAAAACCUCAACAAAGAUCCAGGUGAUACUGCAGUUGUAGUUGCAUUCAUCCCACCGGUUCCUGGACUUGCCAUUGGAAUGAAGAAGGAGA